AGCAGCCGCGGUAAUUCCAGCUCCAAUAGCGUAUAUUAAAGUUGUUGCAGUUAAAAAGCUCGUAGUUGAAUUUCGGGAUCAAUAUAUCGGUCGUGCCUUGGUACGUACUGGUAUCAUUGAUUUCUCCCUUCUGACGAAUCAUGAUGUCAUUAAUUUGGUGUUAUGAGGAGUUAGGACUGUUACUUUGAAAAAUUAGAGUGUUUAAAGCAGGCAUUAGCUUGAAUACAUUAGCAUGGAAUAAUGAAAUAGGACGUUUGACCCUAUUUUGUUGGUUUCUAGGAUCGACGUAAUGAUUAAUAGGGAUAGUUGGGGCAUUAGUAUUCAAUUGUCAGAGGUGAAAUUCUUGGAUUUAUUGAAGACUAACUACUGCGAAAGCAUUUGCCAAGGAUG
rnacentral:rRNA from 1 species